CAUGCCCUGAGAGGUGCUGCAGGUGUGUCUGGUAUGUCAUGUGUGCGUCAGUUGGUGGCAAAGCAGAGAGACGCUAUGUCUAUGCUCAGUGUUCUGAGCUAUAAGCAGCUGAAUGACCAGUAGCCUAACGUU